AGAGUUUGAUCCUGGCUCAGAACGAACGCUGGCGGCAUGGCUAAGACAUGCAAGUCGUACGGACCUUUUUCGGAAGGUUAGUGGCGAACGGGAGAGUAAUACUUAGGUUAUGUACCCUGGACACCGGAAUAACUGCGGGCUUUGCCCUUUAGCGAAAGUGCAGCUAAUACCGGAUGAUAUCGAGAGAUCAAAGGUGGGGACCUUCGGGCCUGCCGGUCUUGGAUCAGCCUAAGUCCUAUCAGCUUGUUGGCGGGGUAACGGCCCACCAAGGCGACGACGGGUAGCGGGCGUGAGAGCGUGGCCCGCCUCAUCGGGACUGAGACACUGCCCGGACACCUACGGGUGGCUGCAGUAACGAAUAUUGGGCAAUGGGCGCAAGCCUGACCCAGCAAUGCCGCGUGCAGGAGGAAGCCCCUCGGGGUGUAAACUGCUGUCAGGGUUUCGCAAGCAAGGGACGUAAAUAGCGUUCUGCGUUGAGCAGACCCAAAGGAAGCCUCGGCUAACUCUGUGCCAGCAGCCGCGGUAAGACAGAGGAGGCAAGCGUUGUUCGGAUUUAUUGGGCUUAAAGAGCGCGUAGGCGGCCAAGCAGGUGUCCUGUGAAAUCCCUCGGCUCAACCGAGGAAUAGCAGGGCAAACCGCUUGGCUUGAGGUUGUCAGGGGUGUCUGGAACUCUAGGUGGAGCGGUGAAAUGCGUAGAUAUCUAGAGGAACGCCAGAGGCGAAAGCGAGACACUGGGACAAUUCUGACGCUGAGGCGCGAAAGCGUGGGGAGCAAACAGGAUUAGAUACCCUGGUAGUCCACGCCGUAAACGAUGCACACUAGAUCUAGGGG
rnacentral:rRNA from 1 species